GGAGAGAUGGCCGAGUGGCUGAAGGCGCACGCUUGGAAAGCGUGUAUACCGCAAGGUAUCCAGGGUUCGAAUCCCUGUCUCUCCG
rfam:Granulicella rosea strain DSM 18704 genome assembly, contig: Ga0111638_102